CGAACGCUGGCGGCAGGCCUAACACAGGAAAGUAGAACGAUCGCAAGAGAGUGGCAGACGGGUGAGUAACGCGUGGGAACCUACCUUGUGGUACGGAACAACCAAGGGAAACUUUGGCUAAUACCGUAUGAGCCCGAGAGGGGAAAGAUUCAUCGCCAUGAGAUGGGCCCGCGUAGGAUUAGCUAGUUGGUGAGGUAAUGGCUCACCAAGGCGACGAUCCUUAGCUGGUCUGAGAGGAUGACCAGCCACACUGGGACUGAGACACGGCCCAGACUCCUACGGGAGGCAGCAGUGGGGAAUAUUGGACAAUGGGCGCAAGCCUGAUCCAGCCAUGCCGCGUGUGUGAUGAAGGCCUUAGGGUUGUAAAGCACUUUCGCCGAUGAAGAUAAUGACGGUAGUCGGAGAAGAAGCCCCGGCUAACUUCGU
rnacentral:rRNA from 1 species